rnacentral:rRNA from 1 species
UACGUAGGUGACAAGCGUUGUCCGGAUUUACUGGGCGUAAAGAGCGCGCAGGCGGUCGAUCAAGUCGAGUGUGAGAGCCCCCGGCUCAACUGGGGAGGGUCAUUCGAUACUGAUCGACUCGAAGGCAGGAGAGGGUAGUGGAAUUCCCGGUGUAGUGGUGAAAUGCGUAGAUAUGCGGAGGAACACCGAUGGCGAAGGCAAUCCCCUGGGCCUGCACUGACGCUCAUGCACGAAAGCGUGGGGAGCAAACAGG